CAAUCCUUGGGAAGGAGCUGGGAAAAUAUGCAGUCAAACUCCUUCCAGGAAGAAACUGGGAACCUUAUGGCUUUUUCAUGCUUCCUCUC